GACCAUUCCACGGUUUCCGCGCCGCAGCUAACGCAUUAAGUGCCCCGCCUGGGGAGUACGGCCGCAAGGCUAAAACUCAAAGGAAUUGACGGGGGCCCGCACAAGCGGCGGAGCAUGCGGAUUAAUUCGAUGCAACGCGAAGAACCUUACCAAGGCUUGACAUGUUCUCGAUCGCCGUAGAGAUACGGUUUCCCCUUUGGGGCGGGUUCACAGGUGGUGCAUGGUUGUCGUCAGCUCGUGUCGUGAGAUGUUGGGUUAAGUCCCGCAACGAGCGCAACCCUCGUUCCAUGUUGCCAGCACGUCNUGGUGGGGACUCAUGGGAGACUGCCGGGGUCAACUCGGAGGAAGGUGAGGACGACGUCAAAUCAUCAUGCCCCUUAUGUCUUGGGCUUCACGCAUGCUACAAUGGCCGGUACAAUGGGUUGCGAUACUGUGAGGUGGAGCUAAUCCCAAAAAGCCGGUCUCAGUUCGGAUUGGGGUCUGCAACUCGACCCCAUGAAGUCGGAGUCGCUAGUAAUCGCAGAUCAGCAACGCUGCGGUGAAUACGUUCCCGGGCCUUGUACACACCGCCCGUCAAGUCACGAAAGU
rnacentral:rRNA from 1 species